rnacentral:lncRNA from 1 species
UUAUUAAAAAUUUAUCUAUGUAAAAGGAAAGAAUUUUAAAAAAUACAUGACAAACAAUUUUUUUGUUAUUUCAACAACUUAAGUUACAAUUAAGUCAAAUAUUAAUUUAUCUGAUGAUCUACAUAUAUUAUGAUUGUUUUAAAUUACGACUAUCUAAUUUCAUAUAAAUAAUGCUUUUCAAACUUGAAUUUUAAUUUAUAACUUAAGUUAAUUUGAUUUUAAAAUAACUUCUAACUGGGAUUUUUAUUCAUGUAACUAAAUUAGUUUCAGAAACCAUUAAUUUCUAUUUAAUUUAUUAAAAAAAACAUUAACCCAAUCCUGGGCUUUAUGAUAACACUGAUUAUUAAUAUCGAAUUAUUACCACUGUCAAUAUUUCUAUCACAUAGCGAUUUUAAUGUUCAAGAAUAAGAAAAUUUGGAUCAUAGUCAAUUCAUCAUGAAUUUCGUAUCAAUCUUUCAAUUAUUAAUCACGUAUGAUCAAUGAUACUGUUAGUAUUUGUUGAUCCCUAAUAACUGUAAGGUUCUUAUAAGGGAUAUCUGUGAUAGCUCAUCCAUAAAUCGCCCCAUUAGGACCGGCAACGCGUCACAAACGUGCUGUAAUCACGUUUACGUAAUACGUCUCCAGCUGUGCUCGACAAAAACAUCGAUUCCGUAUGAACGAGAAGCCUUCACGCGCAUCAUCAGCAUUUAUGAUAAAUUUCGAAUUUUAGGUAGGAAACAACAUGACGUAACAUCAACGUUCAGGAUGAGUGACGAUGGCACGAUAGGAUUGUAACAAAUCUUUGAAAUUAGAUGCAUAUUCAUAUACAUAUGAUGGAUGUAUUCGUACAUGAUUUUUUACAUUCUAACGUAUUGAGAUGAUAAUAUGGUGAAAGAUAAAUAUAAAUUGUGUAUGAUGCAACACCGAUGAGUGAUGUCAAUACAUGGUGCAAUGUAUUCGUGGUUGGAAGGAGGGGAGGACGACGAGUUGGGUAUUCAAGACCAAGGAUGUAGAAUGAUUUGCAAGAUUUCGGCAAUUAUAUGGCAAUUAUUGACUAUUGUAUUAUAAGAAAACGAAAAGCGUUUGGAUAAUCGAUUUUGAACUUUAAAUAAUUUUCUCAAUUCCAUGUAGUGGAAUUGCUCUUUUUGUCAGGUUGACAUAAGUGGAAAAAUUAUAGGGGUGGAAGAGAAAUAAUAUGAAACACAUGCUUCUCUCUCAAAGGUCAACGCUGAUUGAUGGGGAAAAAGACUUAUGCACGAAGGAUGUGACUCGUCAACGAGGAGACUUUCCCUCUGAAGAGAUACGCUUUGCUCUUCUCGGAUGUGGAACAGAUGAAUGGCACGUGUGUGGCUUGAAAGCUUCAAUUUUCUAAAAUUGUUAGGGAACAAUUUCUUUUGGAUUAGACAACAAGUAUAUUUUACAAGUAUAUAUUUUCUGUUAAACUCCAGUUUGUAUGGUGUUCGGCUACUUAAGAACUUUUAAGAGUUGCGUUGGAAGAAUUCUAGAAAAAAUCUAGGAGAAACUUGAGCGAAAGAUGCGAAAGUUUUGUGCAUAACCGUUCGUGUAUAUUUGCAGGUUGAGUUAGAAACUAGAAGGGAGGAGAGAGAAAGAGAGAGAGCCUUGUGUUAACGAUCCGUCUCUUAUGCACGUGUACCACAAGGGAACAAUGCUCGUGCGGCGGGAUCGCGGAGUGUCGAUAGCAGGGGUUAUCGGCGCCGACUAUUAUAUUAUUGUGCCGGCGAGUUCUACAUCAAACAAACAUCCUUCGAUGAUAAUCGAAUCGAACCAACUGACGCAAUUGCAGGAGCGACGCUGCGAUGUUCUCGUACUUUCACCUUUGAGCUUGCGUGUUUAAAUCGAUCCUCCUCACGUGUCUCCGCCGCAACGUGAACUCGCAUAACUCUCAGUACAGUAAACCCGUCGCUUGGAUUCUAUAUUUAGCAGACCGUUUUAUGAAUGAGAUGUUUUAAAGCCAUGCGGUUUUCAUGUUAUACCGCAUGAAUGAAACUGACAAUUACGUUUGUUAACGUGCUCCGCUCGGAAAACACAAGAUGCAUGAAUAAUAAUCGAUGCUGGUGUUCGAUAGUUAUUAGCAGUAACAUUCUAAUAAUAUUACGGCGAUGGACAUCGUUCUAUUUAUCAGUUAUGCGUGAGUCGUGAAUAUUGUUAUCACUGGUUUACGCCGUGUAAGUGCAUCUUUUUAAUAGGUUCAUUUUAUUUCGAAACUCAGUUAUCUAACAAUAGAUAACUAUAAUAACCAAGUAAAACAUACGCGACAGUUUGUGAGUUCUUCGAAAGUCAAUAUUUUUAUUUGAUUUGUUCAACUAGAACAAAUUUUUUUCUUACUCUUGUUUACAACGCUUCAUCUUUAAAGUAAAAAUUUAUAUAAAUGGCAUCUUUUUUAAGUGUUUGUUAAAAAUAUCAAGUUUAAAUUUGACAUGUUUUAACGAUAUCUUCUUAUCAUCCGUUAUUUCUAAACAGAUAUCUCGAUAAUAUUCGUAGUAAUCGUCAUAGUCGUCGCCUGUAUACAUCUUUCCCACUAUUUAUCACGUUAUUUUGUGAUAAAAUGUCUUAUCUGCAUCGCGUUACCUAUGUAACAGGAGUACAAUGCUUCUACACAGAAUAUAGCGAUGGAACACUACAUGAUAAACGUGAUGAUAAGACGGCGAAGUAGACGAUAAACGCCACUAAAGGAAUAUGAGAACGAAAAGUUGUGUACAAAGUAUUACAAAAUAUUUCAAACUUUUUGAAAUUUUGUUAUCUAAUUGCCAAGGAUAUUUCCAUUUCCUACAUAAGAAAUUUAAUAACAUUACAUUUCUUUACGCACAUAUUACGUCUCCUUAUCAUUUUUUUCAUUUAAUUAAGUUUACCUCGAUUCAAGCAUCCACCCAUAGAAAAAAUUAUUAAGAAAAAUCAAGGAUUUUUAAUUUAAAUUAGAGAAUUUGAUUUUCAUCUUAGUUAUUUUUUCUUCGUACUCUGAUUUUAUAUAAUCUCCUCGGUACUUGAAUUAUGGAAUAGUUCUCUUAUCAGUCGUACAAAUUUCUUGCUAUCGUUAACGACUCAAGAUGAGUGAUAUUUAUGAAACGUGGCUUAAAACGGCGGAAAAUUAAUUAUGAUUACCUGUAUAAAAUUAUGCAGUAGUUAGACAUUCCAAUUUAGGAACUGCCAAUUUAGGACAUUCCAAUUUAGGAAAGAUCAUAAUAAAUAUGCGUUUUGAUUAUCGUAGAAAAUAGAGUUUGUUAUUAGUGAGAAUAUCUCUUAAC